AUCCUUUGACCACUCUAGAGAUAGAGCUUCCCCUUCGGGGGCAAAGUGACAGGUGGUGCAUGGUUGUCGUCAGCUCGUGUCGUGAGAUGUUGGGUUAAGUCCCGCAACGAGCGCAACCCUUAUUGUUAGUUGCCAUCAUUUAGUUGGGCACUCUAGCGAGACUGCCGGUGACAAACCGGAGGAAGGUGGGGAUGACGUCAAAUCAUCAUGCCCCUUAUGACCUGGGCUACACACGUGCUACAAUGGGAAGUACAACGAGUUGCGAAGUCGCGAGGCUAAGCUAAUCUCUUAAAGCUUCUCUCAGUUCGGAUUGUAGGCUGCAACUCGCCUACAUGAAGCCGGAAUCGCUAGUAAUCGCGGAUCAGC
rnacentral:rRNA from 3 species